GUGUGGAUCCAGAGACCAGAGGCCAAAGAGAUGUGAUAAACUAUGUCAGUGACUGGAGCCGACCCUGGUCAGUCCCUGGGGCAGGCAUGGCAGCAAGAGGCUGGUUUCCACAUGUGCCCAGAGUUUGCUUCAUGGAAAGGCCAGCUCUGCGCAAAGGUCCAGGGGGGACCAGUCACGAAGGUGUGAAGAGGCCUGAGUGUUUGUCUUCCAUUCAGCUGAGAAAGGCAGAACGCCGCCACACUGCUGCACAGACGGCACCUUCUACACCUUUACACUCCUCACACUGAGCUCCAGGGUCCGGACAGCUGUGCACCUGCCACCUUUAGCAAAGCGAAGGCCAGGGGCCCCUGCUGGCCUUCUGCAAUGGGCAUAUAUUUUGUCUACCCAGCAUUCCUUUCCUUUUUGAGAAUAACUCUUCAGGUCAAAGUAGUCACGCCCAGUCUUCCUGGGCAAGAGAAACAGCCCCUCCUUCCCCUUCUUCCUGGGUGAAUGUGAUGAGGAUGACCAAUUAGAAUAGCCCCACCCCCAAGGCAGGGUAAUUGGCUCAGGGCUGGGCAUGUGACCCAGACCCAGCCAUACUGAGUCCUCCUGGGGUCUUGCCAGAGUUCCUGUGCAAUAAACCCACUGUCUGGGACGGUAAGCACGGCACUAGCUCACGAUGGCCAGUAGCCACCUGGCUCCCCCUUGAAACGGCCUGUCUGCCGGUGCAGCUAAACAGAGCUGAGAGAUGAAGGCACAGCAUGAGCCCUGAUGUGCGCUUUCUGCUCCUGCUCCUGCUCCUGCCCCUUCGGAGGCCUGUGCCAGUGGCAGCUGGGCCCGGAGACACCAGGCCGGCACUGCUCUCUUUCGAGGCACCCGUGUUUGUGCCGACGCUGACUCCCGGUUGUCUGCAGCAGCCACGUGGCCGAAAUGG
ensembl:lncRNA novel transcript, antisense to RPH3AL